CGGCAACAGCUCAAAUUUGAAAUCUGGCCCCCAGGGCCCGAGUUGUAAUUUGCAGAGGAUGCUUUUGGCGCGGUGCCUUCCGAGUUCCCUGGAACGGGACGCCAUAGAGGGUGAGAGCCCCGUCUGGUCGGACGCCUAGCCUGUGUAAAGCUCCUUCGAC
rnacentral:rRNA from 1 species